AAGACCUUGCGCUUUUGGAGCGGCCGAUGUCUGAUUAGCUUGUUGGUGAGGUAAAAGCUUACCAAGGCUUCGAUCAGUAGCUGGUCUGAGAGGACGGCCAGCCACACUGGGACUGAGACACGGCCCAGACUCCUACGGGAGGCAGCAGUGGGGAAUUUUGGACAAUGGGGGCAACCCUGAUCCAGCCAUGCCGCGUGAGUGAAGAAGGCCUUCGGGUUGUAAAGCUCUUUCAGCCGGAACGAAACGGUUACGGUUAAUACCCGUGACUACUGACGGUACCGGAAGAAGAAGCACCGGCUAACUACGUGCCAGCAGCCGCGGUAAUACGUAGGGUGCAAGCGUUAAUCGGAAUUACUGGGCGUAAAGCGUGCGCAGGUGGUUCUGUAAGUCAGAUGUGAAAUCCCCGGGCUUAACCUGGGAACU
rnacentral:rRNA from 1 species